rnacentral:rRNA from 1 species
UACAGAGGUCCCAAGCGUUGUUCGGAUUCACUGGGCGUAAAGGGUGCGUAGGCGGUCGGGUAAGUCUGAUGUGAAAUCUCACAGCUUAACUGUGAAACUGCAUUGGAUACUAUCCGGCUUGAGGAAUGGAGGGGAGACUGGAAUACUUGGUGUAGCAGUGAAAUGCGUAGAUAUCGGGAGGAACACCAGUGGCGAAGGCGACUACCUGGCCUGUUCUUGACGCUGAGGCGCGAAAGCUAGGGGAGCAAACGGG